AUAUUGGACAAUGGGGGCAACCCUGAUCCAGCGAUGCCGCGUGAGUGAAGAAGGCCUUCGGGUCGUAAAGCUCUUUAGGUUGGGAAGAAGGGUGUAGGAGGAAAUGCCUACACUUUGACGGUACCGACAGAAUAAGCACCGGCAAACUCUGUGCCAGCAGCCGCGGUAAUACAGAGGGUGCGAGCGUUAAUCGGAGUUACUGGGCGUAAAGGGCGCGUAGGCGGUGAUAUGAGUGUGAUGUGAAAGCCCCGGGCUUAACCUGGGAAGUGCAUCGCAAACGAUAUGACUGGAGUAUAUGAGAGGGUGGCGGAAUUUCCGGUGUAGCGGUGAAAUGCGUAGAGAUCGGAAGGAACGUCAAUGGCGAAGGCAGCCACCUGGCAUAAUACUGACGCUGAGGCGCGAAAGCGUGGGGAGCGAACAGG
rnacentral:rRNA from 1 species